CAGCUACUUCUUUCCCUUCUCCUCUUCCUUCUCCUUCCUUUCUUCUUCUUCUCUUCUUCUCCUUCCUCCCCUUCUUCUCCCCGACGAACAGCACCUCCUUUCCUCUGUUUCCUCGUGCAGGAAACAGAGGUGCCGCCUCUUCACCCGCUUCUACUUCUUCUCUUCUUCCUCACCAUCUCUUCCUCUCCUUCUCUUCCAACUGCAGCUUCCACCGCCACAGCCGCAGCUCCUCCUUUCCCUUCUCUUCUUCUUCUUCCCUCCUCCUCCUCCCCGGCGUCACACACACCCUCUCCUUUGUUUCCUCUGCAAGAAACAGAAGUAUCACAACCUCUUCUCCUGCUUCCUCUUCCUCUUCUUCUUCUUCUCCUCUUCGAACGCCCCACACCUCUCCUCUGUUUCCACCUGCAAGAAACAGAGGUGCUGCAGCCCUAGCUGCUGCCACCUCUCGCUCCUCUCCCUCUUCCCUUUCUUCUCCCUCUUCUUCUCCUUCUCUUCUUCUCCUCUUCCCUUUUCCUCCCCAACGCCACACACCUCCUCGCUGCAGCCUUGCCGCAGCUAUCCUCCUCUCUUCUUCUUCUUCUCCCUCUUCUUCU
rnacentral:lncRNA from 1 species